ACAGGGGACAGAGGAAUAUGUCAGGUGAGACCACGGGAUACAGUCACCAGGGCAAAUGGCCCGUUCCAGCAACAAGUAAACAGCAAAGGGAAAAGAUAGGAACGGCAGCCAGACCAACUGAAUGCAACGGCUGCCUCUUGCUUGGAUUCUGAUGUGUCACAGACAAAUUCACAAAAUGAUGGGAAAACUCAACGGAUUAGUUAUUUCACAUGAAGCAACUUUAAAAAAAGCCUGUCUUCUGGAGCUCCAUAAUGAGGCUUGAAGAGGACGUAGUGUGCACCUGCACUCGGCCACCUCACCAGCUGCUGGGGAGCCUGUGUGAGAAGGGAGCCCAUCUAGAGGAGCCAGGUUUGCCAUGGAGAAAAAGUUUGGUGCCAUCAGCUGAGCUCCUUCAUGAAGCUGUGCUUUGGUUUUCCCCCUUAAAACUGGUCUGGGGGAACCCUGGGUGGUGCAGCGGUUUGGCGCCUGCCUUUGGCCCAGGGCGCGAUCCUGGAGACCCGGGAUCGAAUCCCACGUCGGGCUCCCGGUGCAUGGAGCCUGCU